rnacentral:rRNA from 1 species
GACGAACGCUGGCGGCGUGCUUAACACAUGCAAGUCGAACGGUGAAGCGCUUGCCUUUUUGGUGGGUGUGGAUGAGUGGCGAACGGGUGAGUAACACGUGAGUAACCUGCCCUCUUCUUCUGGAUAACCUCAUGAAAGUGGGGCUAAUACGGGGUAUUCCGGGUCUGUCGCAUGGCGGGUUUGGGAAAGAUUGCGCCUUUGGGUGUUUUCGGUGGGGGAUGGGCUCGCGGCCUAUCAGCUUGUUGGUGGGGUGAUGGCCUACCAAGGCGGUGACGGGUAGCCGGCCUGAGAGGGUGGACGGCCACACUGGGACUGAGACACGGCCCAGACUCCUGCGGGAGGCAGCAGUGGGGAAUAUUGCACAAUGGGCGCAAGCCUGAUGCAGCGACGCCGCGUGAGGGAUGGAGGCCUUCGGGUUGUGAACCUCUUUCGCCAGUGAAGCAGGCCUGCUCCUGUGUGGGUGGGUUGACGGUAGCUGGAUAAGAAGCGCCGGCUAACUACGUGCCAGCAGCCGCGGUAAUACGUAGGGCGCGAGCGUUGUCCGGAAUUAUUGGGCGUAAAGAGCUCGUAGGCGGCUGGUCGCGUCUGUCGUGAAAUCCUCUGGCUUAACUGGGGGCUUGCGGUGGGUACGGGCCGGCUUGAGUGCGGUAGGGGAGGCUGGAACUCCUGGUGUAGCGGUGGAAUGCGCAGAUAUCAGGAAGAACACCGGUGGCGAAGGCGGGUCUCUGGGGCCGUUACUGACGCUGAGGAGCGAAAGCGUGGGGGAGCGAACAGGG